GCCUGGGUGGCUCAGCAGUGGAGCAUCUGCCUUUGGCUCAGGCCAUGAUCCCAGGUCUUGGGAUCGAGUCCCACAUCAGGCU
rnacentral:tRNA from 1 species